rnacentral:rRNA from 1 species
AUGGAGGCCCUUAUUGGUAUGUCUCCUAUAGAGGCUCCGGUAGCAGAGGGGAAUAAGAAAAGAGUCGCAGCCGGAGCUCAAUUCACUUGGAUUGCACCGAACUUUGCACAUUGCCCUCAGGAUGCUACUGAUGAUGUGGUGCAGACAUAUGCUCGUGUCUACAUGUGGUACGUUAUCUCCAGGACUUUGUUUGCCGACGCUACUGGCAAGAACGCUCCAUGGAUGUGGCUUAAGGCGAUAACCGUCUUCGACAACCAAUGA